UACAGAGGUCUCAAGCGUUGUUCGGAAUCACUGGGCGUAAAGGGUGCGUAGGCCGCACGGUAAGUCAGAGGUGAAAUCCCGGAGCUCAACUUCGGAAUUGCCUCCGAUGCUGCCGUGCUUGAGGACUGGAGAGGAGUCUGGAAUUCACAGUGGAGCAGUGAAAUGCGUAGAUAUUGUGAGGAACACUAGUGGCGAAGGCGAGUCCCUGGACAACACCUGACACUGAGGCACGAAAGCUAGGGGAGCAAACAGG
rnacentral:rRNA from 1 species